rnacentral:tRNA from 1 species
GGUUGUGGCUUAGUAGUAGAGUGCUUGCCUAGCAUGUGUGAGGCCCUGGGUUCAAUUCUCAGCACCA